AUUGAACGCUGGCGGCAUGCCUAACACAUGCAAGUCGAACGGCAGCACGGUGUGUAGCAAUACAUAUGGGUGGCGAGUGGCGGACGGGUGAGAAACGCGUGGGAAUCUGCCCUUGAGAGUGGGAUAACCCGAGGAAACUCGGGCUAAUACCGCAUAAACUCUGAGGAGCAAAGGCUAGGUAGCAAUAUCUGGUGCUUGAGGAGGAGCCUGCGUCCGAUUAGCUAGUUGGCGGGGUAAAAGCCCACCAAGGCGAUGAUCGGUAGCUGGUCUGAGAGGAUGAUCAGCCACACUGGGACUGAGACACGGCCCAGACUCCUACGGGAGGUAGCAGUGGGGAAUAUUGGACAAUGGGGGCAACCCUGAUCCAGCAAUGCCGCGUGUGUGAAGAAGGCCUUCGGGUUGUAAAGCACUUUAGGCGGGGAAGAAGUUAUGGAGUUUAAGAGAUGCCAUAGUUGACGGUACCCGCAGAAUAAGCACCGGCUAACUCUGUGCCAGCCGCCGCAGUAA
rnacentral:rRNA from 1 species